rnacentral:rRNA from 1 species
UACGAAGGGUGCAAGCGUUGUUCGGAAUUACUGGGCGUAAAGCGCGCGUAGGCGGUUUGAUAAGUUGGAAGUGAAAUCCCGAGGCUUAACUUCGGAAUUGCUUUCAAAACUGUCAAGCUUGAGUAUGGUAGGGGACAGUGGAAUUCCUAGUGUAGAGGUGAAAUUCGUAGAUAUUAGGAGGAACACCAGUGGCGAAAGCGACUGUCUGGGCCAUUACUGACGCUGAGGCGCGAAAGCGUGGGGAGCAAACAGG